rnacentral:SRP_RNA from 1 species
UCGUGCUAGACGGGGAGCUAGCGGUGCCCUGAACCCGAAAUCCGCUUAUGCGGGGUUGAAUAUCCUUAAUGAGGCCUUGUGCAGCGGCAGUUCACUUCGUUGCCUUGGGGGAGGGAUGGACCUCACGUGACAGGCGCUUGUGAACCCCGUCAGGUCCGGGAGGAAGCAGCGGUAAACGAGAGAGCCUGUGUCGUGCAGAUUUCUAUCUUUUUUCUCCAGGCGAUGGAGCCUGUGCUGUGACGGGUCGAAUCAGGAUGCACGG